rnacentral:tRNA from 1 species
GGGGAUGUAGCUCAGAGGUAGAGCGUUCGCUUUGCAUGCGAAAGGCCCCGGGUUCGACUCCCGGCAUCUCCA